rnacentral:rRNA from 1 species
AUCGAGUUUUUGAACGCAAGUUGCGCCCGAAGCCUUCGGGCCGAGGGCACGUCUGCCUGGGUGUCACACAACGUCGCCCCCCCACCCCCGUCCGCCCCGAAGUGGGCGUGGGGCGAAGGAGGGGGCAGAGUAUGGCCUCCCGUCGGCCCUACCGACGGUUGGCYGAAAUACCUGUCCUCGGCGUACGGCGUCGUGACGAUCGGUGGUUGAACAGGCCCUCAUGAAUCGUCGCGSGCCCCGCCGAACGGGACGACCGAGACCCUCGCGCGUCYGCGGACGCCUAMCGACGCGACCCCAGGUCAGGCGGGACCACCCGCUGAGUUUAAGCAUAUCAAUAAGCGGAGGAAAAGAAACUU